ACUAGCCCUGGAGUGAAAAAAGAGAAAGUGAAGAAGUCAUUUCAUCCUAGGAAGCUGCCUCACAAGGUAUGAAUGGUGGGCCCCUAAGGAUAGACCAGAGAUGGCCGAGCUGCUGAAGGGCUCUUCAAGGCAAGAAGGAAGGUGUGGGAACUGAGCCAUCAGCUGUGGUAGGAAAGACCUGGUCUAUGCACAGGAGAUUCGGGGCUAUCACAGACCCUGGAAGAAGCUAUGAGGUGAUGGAGAGCAGAAGAGGGACAGCGUCCUUUGCCCCAGGAGGGGGCUCUUCUGAC